rnacentral:rRNA from 1 species
AUUGAACGCUGGCGGAAUGCUUUACACAUGCAAGUCGAACGGCAGCACGGACUUCGGUCUGGUGGCGAGUGGCGAACGGGUGAGUAAUGUAUCGGAACGUGCCCAGUCGCGGGGGAUAACGUAGUGAAAAUUACGCUAAUACCGCAUACGAUCUAUGAAUGAAAGCGGGGGAUCGCAAGACCUCGCGCGAUUGGAGCGGCCGAUAUCAGAUUAGGUAGUUGGUGGGGUAAAGGCCCACCAAGCCAACGAUCUGUAGCUGGUCUGAGAGGACGACCAGCCACACUGGAACUGAGACACGGUCCAGACUCCUACGGGAGGCAGCAGUGGGGAAUUUUGGACAAUGGGCGAAAGCCUGAUCCAGCCAUUCCGCGUGCAGGAUGAAGGCCCUCGGGUUGUAAACUGCUUUUGUACAGAACGAAAAGGUUUCUACUAAUACUAGGAGCUCAUGACGGUACUGUAAGAAUAAGCACCGGCCAACUACGUGCCAGCCGCCGCCGUAA